rnacentral:lncRNA from 1 species
AGUGCGCCUGUAACACCAGGACGGACCAACGAGAAAUGGUUAAUUGCAACACAGUCCGGAAAAAGCAUGCCUCGAAAGGCAAAGGGCAAAAGGGAACGGCCUAAGUCGAGGUGGUGUGCUGGUGAAUGUCUUAACAACCAGACUUUUCAGGGAGGAAAGCCCUGAUUUGUAGCGUUUGCUGAUUCUCCGCAAAAGGACUGAACUUCUAGCUGGUUGAAUCACCUCUGUGGCCAGGUUAACACCGUAUGCUGAUGGGCUUGAGCUAUUUGAACAAGUCUCUGUGACGGGGACGGAAUGACCCUGGUUGGUUUAGGCACGCGAGACGUCUGUAAAAUCUGACUACAAGGCUGCUAGGCCAACGGGAAAGAUGCUGAGGG